GAGUACAAAUUCCUGCUGGCUUCGGAGUUAGGUGCCUGAGAGAAAACUGGGAAUGUGAGAGCGGUUAAGCGGAGUAUUUUCAGGCGACUCUGGGCUACAACUGGCAUAGAGUACAUUCAAUAGCUUGCCAAGGAAAGGCUGAAGCGGGAGAAGGAAACGGCGGCCAAGCUCGAAGCUGAGGAGAAAGGUGAUGACGAAGCUAGUGCACCUUAGACUGGGUAGAGUGCUGGGGGCUCAGGAAUUCUUGUGAAAAACUUUUGAAAAAGACAUUUUUUUGUCUUGUAAUAGCGUUGUAGUCGUGGCGUUUGAUGACAUUUGAAUUGUGGCCGAAGCGGUUUGACAGUUAUUUUCUAGGAAUGUGUAAAUGCGUUUUUUUGGUGGUGAAGUGCCAUGCUUACUUUUUUAGUUUCUUGCGUACUUGUGCUCCUUUGUUUUGCAGGGGCUUGGAGUUUUUCUUUGGGCUAGCUUCGCUAGGCCUGUUGCGGCUUGCUCCUGCGAAAGGGCGGUUUAAGAGGAUGGUUUGUUUGAAAAAGAACGUCACC
rnacentral:lncRNA from 1 species